rnacentral:rRNA from 1 species
ACGAACGCUGGCGGCGUGCUUAACACCUGCAAGUCGCACGCUGAAGCUCAGCUUUUGUUGGGUGGAUGAGUGGCGAACGGGUGAGUAACACGUGAGUAACCUGCCUCCUUCUUUGGGAUAACGCCCGGAAACGGGUGCUAAUACUGGAUAUUCACUGGUCUUCGCAUGGGGGUUGGUGGAAAGGGUUUUUCUGGUGGGGGAUGGGCUCGCGGCCUAUCAGCUUGUUGGUGGGGUGAUGGCCUACCAAGGCUUUGACGGGUAGCCGGCCUGAGAGGGUGACCGGUCACAUUGGGACUGAGAUACGGCCCAGACUCCUACGGGAGGCAGCAGUGGGGAAUAUUGCACAAUGGGCGCAAGCCUGAUGCAGCGACGCCGCGUGAGGGAUGGAGGCCUUCGGGUUGUGAACCUCUUUCGCUCAUGGUCAAGCCGCAACAAUGGUUGUGGUGAGGGUAGUGGGUAAAGAAGCGCCGGCUAACUACGUG